UACGUAGGGGGCUAGCGUUGUCCGGAUUUAUUGGGCGUAAAGAGCGUGUAGGCGGCCAGGUAGGUCAGCUGUGAAAACUCGAGGCUCAACCUCGAGACGCCGGUUGAAACCAUCUGGCUAGAGUCCGGAAGAGGAGAGUGGAAUUCCUGGUGUAGCGGUGAAAUGCGCAGAUAUCAGGAAGAACACCCGUGGCUAAGGCGGCUCUCUAGUACGGUACUGACGCUGAGACGCGAAAGCGUGGGGAGC
rnacentral:rRNA from 1 species